AGGAGAACCCCAGCUGAAAUUCGAGAGGAGUUUGAGCGGCUGCAGAGAGAGAGGGAAGAGAGGAGACUGCAGCAGCGAACCAAUCCCAAGCUGUGUUUAAAAAGAGGGCUCAGGCCUUGGUACCAGCGGAGACAUGACGAGGUAUACUCCAGAUGAGAAACUGCGGCUGCAACAGCUGCGAGAGCUGAGAAGGUGAUGGCUGAAGGACCAGGAGCUGAGCCCUCGGGAGCCAGUGCUGCCCCCAUAGAAGAUGUGGCCUAUGGAGAAAUUCUGGAAUAAGUUUUUGGAGAAUAAAUCCCCUUGGAGGAGAACGGUCCAUGGGGUAUACCAAAAGGGUAUCUUUAUUUUCACUCAUAUACUUGUACCUGCCUGGAUUAUUCGUUAUUACCUGAAGUAUCAUGUGUCUGAAAAACCAUAUGGCAUAGUUGAAAGGAAGGCCGGAAUAUUCCCUGCUGAUACAAUUCUGGAGACUGGAGAAGUAAUUCCACCGAUGAAAGAAUUUCCUGAUCAACAUCAUUAAAGAUUAUGUAAAAACUUUAAAAGGCUUAUGAGCCUAAAUUUGUUCCUAUAUUACUAUAUUUACUGAAUUUUCUGGAAAAGUAACUUUAAUAAAGUUUAAUCUCAGAAAAAAAAAAAAAAAAGAAGGCUCA